rnacentral:rRNA from 1 species
UUGAACCCUACACUACUCUCUCAAUUUCGUCCAAUUAGCCUUUGUAACGUGAUCUAUAAAAUUGCGUCCAUAGUUGUGGCAAACAGGUUAAAGAGAAUUCUUCCUGACAUCAUAUCUGAAGAGCAGUCGGUGUUGGGGAUACACAUAACAGGUAGGCCAACGAAGGAUCGAAAUAUCAUAAAGCAUGGGGUCCACACGACACAUGGGUCCAGAUAA